GCGAGAAAACUUCACACUGUGCGAAAGCGCGAUGAGGGAAUCCCAAGUGUUUGCUCGUAAGAGUAAACUGUUUCUUUGUUUAAAACGCAGAGAGAGUAAGGGCUGGUAAGACGGGUGCCAGCCGCCGCGGUAAUACCUGCAGCUCAAGUGGUGAUCAUUAUUAUUGGGCCUAAAACGUCCGUAACCGGUUUAGUAAAUGCCUGGGUAAAUCGUGUAGCUUAACUAUACGACUUCCGGGUAGACUGCUAAACUUGAGACCGGGAGAGGCUAGAGGUACUCCUGGGGUAGAG
rnacentral:rRNA from 1 species